rnacentral:rRNA from 1 species
UACGGAGGGUGCAAGCGUUAAUCGGAAUUACUGGGCGUAAAGCGCGCGUAGGUGGUUUGGUAAGCGAGAUGUGAAAGCCCCGGGCUUAACCUGGGAACGGCAUUUCGAACUGUCAGACUAGAGUGUGGUAGAGGGUAGUGGAAUUUCCUGUGUAGCGGUGAAAUGCGUAGAUAUAGGAAGGAACACCAGUGGCGAAGGCGACCACCUGGGCUAAUACUGACACUGAGGUGCGAAAGCGUGGGGAGCAAACAGG